UAAUUUGCACAGGGAACCUUCGCAAUGGAACACUUUGAACAGGAUUUUAACUACUUCCAUGAGAAGGAUCCUGUGACGAAAAUGACUGUGAAGAAACAUCCCGUUAUGAACAUCAAACGACAGGAUCUUAGUUCAUUUGUUUCAAGCUUCCCUGGCGAGGACCCAAAAAUGCUAUCCAACUUUAAUGAUCUCCUGAAAAGAAUAUUAGUGCUAGAUCCAGAAAAGAGGUUAAAGGUGGAACAGGCACUUAACCAUCCAUUUGUAUCUGGCGUGUGAAAUUCAGUACAACUUAGAAACUGAAAUUUUGGUUUGAACUCGUUUACAUUUCUGCCCUUUUCCUAUACCACUGGAGCUUUAAGACCAUGAUAGCUGUUUGAGACAUGGAACGGAUGAUGACCAUCUUAGAUACUGUAACACGCAAGCUUGGAUAGAUUUGUAAUAUACGUUAGACCGCUUGCUUGAA